rnacentral:rRNA from 1 species
GCCUAUGGCCAUACCACCCUGAACACGCCCGAUCUCGUCUGAUCUCGGAAGCUAAGCAGGGUCGGGCCUGGUUAGUACUUGGAUGGGAGACCGCCUGGGAAUACCAGGUGUUGUAGGUU